rfam:Populus trichocarpa scaffold_5_contig_292, whole genome shotgun sequence.
UCUAGAACUCGAGAUAUGGGCUGAACACGGAACAAUAUUUGGGCUGCAAGAUAGAUUCAGACUUCUCUGUUGUUGCUACAAUUUGGACUUGAAAACGACCUUUUUAAAUCUUGGACUUCACAUAAAAGUUUUAGGCCUACAUCUUAGCUUUCCAUC